UAUUAAGGAUGAACCAUCCCGAACCUGAUUCCUGUAAGAUUGACAACCCUGUUGGAUCUGACUUCUGAAAU
rnacentral:snoRNA from 1 species